AAUGUACUUGAUGUUGAUUAUCCAACGUGGAUAACUGUGGCAAUUCUAGAGCUAAUACAUGCACCAAAGCUCCGACUUUUGAACGAGCGCAUCUAUUAGAUUAAAACCAAUCGGGUUAUAAGCCCGUUAAUUGGUGACUCUGAAUAGCUAUUGCUGAUCGCAUGGUCUUGUACCGGCGACAUAUCUAUCAAGUGUCUGCCUUAUCAACUUUCGAUGGUAGUUUAUGUGCCUACCAUGGUUGUAACGGGUAACGGAGAAUAAGGGUUCGACUCCGGAGAGGGAGCCUGAGAAACGGCUACCACAUCCAAGGAAGGCAGCAGGCGCGCAAAUUACCCACUCUCAGAAUGAGGAGGUAGUGACGAAAAAUAACGAGACCGUUCUCUUUGUAGGCCGGUUAUCGGAAUGGGUACAAUUUAAACCCGUUAACGAGGAUCUAUGAGAGGGCAAGUCUGGUGCCAGCAGCCGCGGUAAUUCCAGCUCUCAAAGUGUAUAUCGUCAUUGCUGCGGUUAAAAAGCUCGUAGUUGGAUCUGCGUCUCAGGACCUGGUCCAUUCAUUGGAUGAGAACUGGGCUCCUAGGCUAAUAUUGCCAGUUUUCCUUACGUUACCUUGAUUGGUUGCGUAUGGUGGCUAGCAAGUUUACCUUGAAAAAAUUAGAGUGCUCAAUGCGGGCUAAUGCCUGAAUACUCGUGCAUGGAAUAAUGAAAUAGGAUCUCGGUUCUAUUUUGUUGGUUUUCUGAUCUGAGAUAAUGGUUAAGAGGGACGGACGGGGGCAUUCGUAUCGCUGCGUGAGAGGUGAAAUUCUUGGACCGUAGCGAGACGUACGACUGCGAAAGCAUUUGCCAAGAAUGUCUUCAUUAAUCAAGAACGAAAGUCAG
rnacentral:rRNA from 1 species